CUCGCGCAAACUAUUGCUAUUGUUAUUGGUUGUUUCGCCGUUUUACUUUGAGCAUGAUUGGUUAAUCUGUCUGUUUUACAGGAAACUGUCCAAUGAGAAUGUGCGCGGCUCUGCGCGCCUAUUUUAAAUUUGAAAAUAUGUCCGUUACUCUCGGUCGGAGCAGCUGCUUUGCGUUGAUUACUCGGUCAGACCUGGAUUAUUUUAUAUCUGCCUGUUGAAUUCUUACAUUUUGAGCGAAUUUUAGUUGAUAUGACAAUGAAGAUCAAAAGCUGGAAUGUGAACAGAGGAAGGGGUCGUACGUGGUCUGUAAAUACUGGCGAUAUCAGAUCAAGCUUUGUAAUAAGAUUUUUUUAUCGGGGGAGAACACCCAACAGAAAGACCCAUGAUUCACCAACUGGCGCACUGAAAGGGGAGAUUCAUGUCACCUUCAUCAGUCCUUUCUUUAAUCACUGGACACCAUUAAGGGAAAGACCCUCAGACGUGUCAUAAUAGGAUAAAUGCGGCUGCAGGACAAGGCCUGGUGAGAGUCACUACAGAGGAUCAUAGCCAUUGUUGGAAUUCUGAAAGGAUGUGGGUGAAUAUCAAUCUGCCAAAUGAACAUUCACAUCUGUAUAUUAAUACUGAUUAUAUAUGAACUUGUUUGUUUGUAACUGGA
ensembl:lncRNA